rnacentral:rRNA from 1 species
CGCUGAGUUUGAUCCUGGCUCAGGAUGAACGCUAGCGGCAGGCUUAACACAUGCAGGUCGAGGGGUAUAGUUCUUCGGAGCUAGAGACCGGCGCACGGGUGCGUAACGCGUAUACAAUCUACCUUUUACAGAGGGAUAGCCCAGAGAAAUUUGGAUUAAUACCUCAUAGUAUUUUCGAAUCGCAUGAUUUGAUUAUUAAAGUUCCAACGGUAAAAGAUGAGCAUGCGUCCCAUUAGCUAGAUGGUAAGGUAACGGCUUACCAUGGCAACGAUGGGUAGGGGUCCUGAGAGGGAGAUCCCCCGACACUGGUACUGAGACACGGACCAGACUCCUACGGGGAGGCAGCAGUGAGGAAUAUUGGACAAUGGGGCGCAAGCCUGAUCCCAGCCCAUGCCGCGUGCAGGAUGACGGUCCUAUGGAUUGUAAACUGCUUUUG